rnacentral:rRNA from 1 species
UGGCGGACGGGUGAGUAACACGUGAGAAUCUGCCAACAGGACGGGGACAACAGGGGGAAACCGCUGCUAAGACCCGAUAAACCGAAAGGGGAAAAAGAAAUUGCCAGUUGAUGAGCUCGCGUCGGAUUAGCUAGUUGGUAGUGUAAGGGACUACCAAGGCGACGAUCCGUAGCCGGUCUGAGAGGACGAUCGGCCACACUGGGACUGAGACACGGCCCAGACUCCUACGGGAGGCAGCAGUGGGGAAUUUUCCGCAAUGGGCGAAAGCCUGACGGAGCAAGACCGCGUGAGGGAGGAAGGCUCUUGGGUUGUAAACCUCUUUUCUCUGGGAAGAACAAAAUGACGGUACCAGAGGAAUCAGCAUCGGCUAACUCCGUGCCAGCAGCCGCGGUAAU